rnacentral:tmRNA from 1 species
UCUCUUCACAUCUCUGUCGUAAUCCCUAUAUAGGGCUCGCUGGCUUCGGCUGGCUAUGGCGAUAAAGUGUGGUGUGCAAUAGGCGCAGCGGACCCGGGGGCAGUACCCGGCGGCUCCACCAGAAACCCCGCUUUGGCGGGUGUCCUGACGGGGCCGAACCAGGAUCGACGUGUGUUGAAAGACAUCGCUUUCGCCCGGGCUGAGUAACCCGUUAAAGGCUCAUAACACACAAGUGCCAACGAUAACGAAGCACUCGCAAUCGCUGCGUAAUUUUACGUCCUAACGGACCGAAUUUACAAAGCUAAAGCGCGGUUGGACCCACCGGGCAACAGAAGGGAUACCAGGGGCUCGGGGUGAGCCUGGCAACAGAAUCACCCCACU